AUAUAAUAAUAUCUAUGGUUAAUUUUGAGGUUUUAUAUUUGGCUUAAACUAAUUUUUAAAGGGUAAACAAAGAAGCCUAAUAAUUUUCUGUUUAGGCCCAUACAUAAUAUAUAUAUUUUUUUUAAUUAAGUAAUAAUAAAGUUACUCAUUUUAUCCAAAGAAUUCGUAAAAAUUCAAUUUAAUAUCGGUAUCGGUAUUGGCGAUAUUGGCCUAAAAGUACUUGGUAUCGCAUCGAAAAUAAAGUAAGUGUUAUCGCCCAUCUCUAGAACGGAGUUUGAUCGGAGUGCGAUUAAAGGGACUUGAGUUAGUGCACAUAGACUGAAGUAGCAGAGUACCGAUCAAAUCGUUCCAUUUUGAAGCACUGGCAGCAACUGUCUUUGCUAGUGCAGCAAGGCAAACUCUGUUAAUCGAUUUUAAAAAUGCAUAAAGGAUACACACUUUCUGGCCUUAUUUAAUCAGAAGUUGGACAUUAUUAAUAGCGAAUACUAGAGUUUUAUUCCUACGAAGCUUAUGAUUAGCUUUGUUGGUUUUAUUUCCAACAUAUCGGUAAACUAGCACGAUUUAGCCAGUUCACGUUAGCUUCUGCUAGCUGGCUGAACUGAUGAGUCCACAGCUACCAGGCUUAAUAAACGUCUUCAAAUGAGUUGUUGACAAAUCUGAUUAUACUCGGGCUGCAUUUUGAAUGGGCUGAUUAAGUUUAUUUGCCAUUCAGGAAAGCAUCGAUUACAGGGUACACACUGGACAAUACUGAGAACACGUAUUUCGUGGUUAAUUUUCUUUGGUUAAUUUUUGAUGGAGAACAUACCCCUGCAAGGGAUGUUACUUUUUUUUUUUUUUAAUCGCUCAUUUGUCGUUUCGUGGCCUAUCGGUCCUCUGAUACCACUAGAAAUCUAAAGACUCCCGUUGUAUACAGUAUUUAGUCGGAUUAUCCUCAUGGAUCUGAAUUUUUACUCGGAUCUCUCUGAUGGGACUGGUCAGCAUGGUGAUUCCGAGUUCAUGGACAGCUCGUCUUACAGUACACAUGAAUCUGUGAACAAGUUUGCAGGUGGCAAUGAUUCAUACCUGACGAUCAGUGGGCCUGGUCAUCAUUUUCUUUCAUCUGAGCAAACAUUCCAUACCCCUAGUCUGGGUGACGAAGAGUUUGAAAUCCCACCCAUCUCCUUGGAUCCAGAUUCAGCCCUCACCAUAGAAGAUGUGGAGGCCCAUUUCGGAGAGAUGGCCGAACAGGCUGGGAGCUCAAAGUCACCUGGAGUUGGAAACAGUCUUGCAAGUAAUGUUGUGAUGGGGGGAAAUGAUCCCUCUUUUGCGUCCACUUUCAUAAAUCCAUCAUCUCAGGGCAUUGAGCACCUGAGUUUGGGUGUGAUUAACCAACCGGGGGGAAGUGCGCUGUUGAGCUCAACUCUGGGUGUGGAUCUUGGCCAUUCUGUUGGCUCUCAUUUCAAUAGUUCCUCUUCCAUAACUAUUGAUGUUCCACUAAAUGACAUGAACCACAGUCUUUUAGGACACAACCAACUCACCACAAUAGACCAUUCAGAUCUAGGUGCUCAAUUAGGGCUCAGCCUUGUUGGUGGAUCCAGUGUGUCAGAGUCACCUGAACAACCUCUGUCUGCCACGCCAUCCCCUGCUAGCUCAUUGCAAGAUGAAGACAUGGAAGACUUCAGACAAAAAACUAUGCUGGUAGACUCUUUCUCAGCCUCUCCUGCGAACAUAUCGCACAUCCCCAAUUUGACGGGAUCCAUGCAGCUCUCCUCCACUCUUCCAGUUGUGGUGAAGAGGGUGGGUGGUAAGCCAACCAUGGUGGCUGGGUCCGCAUCAGACAUGGGGGUGACGAUUGGAGCCAAGAAAGGGAAGAAGAAAAAAGAUCCCAAUGAACCACAGAAACCAGUGUCAGCCUAUGCUCUGUUCUUCAGAGAUACCCAGGCAGCCAUUAAAGGCCAGAACCCCAAUGCCACUUUUGGAGAGGUGUCGAAGAUAGUGGCCUCCAUGUGGGACAGCCUUGGGGAAGAGCAGAAACAGGUUUACAAGAGGAAAACGGAGGCUGCUAAGAAAGAGUAUCUGAAAGCAUUGGCGGUCUACAGAGCAAAUCAGCUCUCAAAACCUUCUCCUGAGGUGGAGGAUACUGCUCCUUCCACUCCUCCAUCUGCCCCCUGUACUGCUCCGGCUGCCCCUGCCCACCCUGCACGGCUUAUCCCCAACCCUGAUGAGAACACUAUUACCAACAUCUGUGCAUCCAAUAUUAUCCUCGACCUGCCUCAAGUCACUACCCGUUCCCGCACAGGGUCUUUACCUGUGGCCAUUAGCCAACCUCCAACCCCUAACCCCAGCCCAGCACCCACCUUCACUAAAAUCAUCAUCUCCAAACAAAUGCUGGAGGGAGGUGCUCAGCUCCAUCAGAUCCCUACUUCCAUGGUGACCGUGAUUCCAGCUGGAAUCCGAGCUGUACAGUCGUCUGUUGGUGCUGCAGCUUCUACUGGACGACAGCCUCCACCGCUGCUGCAGAUGCAGGGCACCCCUCCACCCCCACGUCUGCAGCAGAUGGUACAAACUCAAGCCCCGCCCCCUCUUCAGGCCAAGCCCCGUGGAGGGCCAGGAAGUUCCACAGCUGUCACGGACACGCCUCCCCCGCCUCUCCAGAUAAAGAUUGUGCCCGCUUCUUUACACUCUGACUUGUCCACACCGAUUAUUGUUACUACAGCAAUAAGUGCCAACCCUGUUAUAUCCCCAUCCACCAUCUCUGCCCCUGUUGAGGUGCAGGUGGAACAACCCAGUGAGCAAUUCGUCACAGGAGAGAAUGAGGCUGUGAUGGAGAAGCUUGCCUCAGAAGAGAUGGAGGUAAGCGUCACUCCUUCGGUCACCUCUUCUGCUCUCUGUGUCCGUGCUGGAUGCACAAACCUGGCUGUGGAGAGUCGAGACUGGGAUAAGGAAUAUUGCAGCAAUGAGUGUGUUGCCACACACUGCAGGGAUAUUUUCAUGGCCUGGUGUUCAAUCAAGAGUCAGAACUCAGCUACUGUCAAAUAAUGAAAUCCUCCUAGUUCUGGGUUUUUACAUGCCUGGAUGUGUUUUAAUUAGUUAAAGGGACAGGUCACAAAAAAAAUUAAUUCAGUAAUCAUUUUUUUCCCAAACCUGCUUGACUUGACAUUCUUCCAUGGAACACAAAAGAAGAUGUAGCAAAAUGUAAGACUCUGUCACCACUGACACCAUUGGACAACAUGAUGCAGAAGAAAGCCAUACACAUCUGGGAUGGUAUGAGGUUGCCAAGCUCAACUGCAUGUGGGGGCCAGCUGUUGUUAUACAGACAUCUGUAACCACUUGGACCCACCAUAAAAGCAGAGGAUAAGUAUGGUGAACAGCAGUGCUCCUAUAAUACUAGUUUGGUAAAGACCAGCACUAGAUUUGUACAUCAGCGACAUUUGUUCCAUCCUCCCCACCUGAAACCAAACAAGUGACAAUAAACUGGCAUUGGGGAACUUUUACUAUGAUUAUGUUUUACUAUUAUUCAUUUUAUUGUUUGCUCUAUAUUACAUACACUAUUCCUUGUCUAUGUAUGUAGUAUGUCUCAAUCUAUCAUUCUUAAUCAGUGCAGUAUACAGUAAUCUUGUGGUGCCAACAGGUUUAGCAGGUUUUUUCAGUACUGUUCAACACACAGACUCACUAUGUUUUCAAUAUCCCCUGUCAGCUGCCUGACGGUGUCCACUGAGUGUUGAAGAUUUCUCUUCAUUUCUUCGAACUGCUUGUCCGUGCUUUUCUGAAAUGUAUUGUCAAUUUUGCUGUUAUCAUUUGAGUCGUUGAUAUCUGGCUUUUCAAUAGAGUAAAAUUACAAAAUGUAAAGUUAGUUGUUUCAGGAAUAUGCUUAUGUAUGUGAGAGCUAUGUCUAUAUGAUGAAUCUUGUUACCUUGUUAAAACAACAAAACAUAAAUGUACCUUUAGUUUGUUCUCCAGAUUCUCAGACCAUUUAACUAUUUUAAUGCACUGCUCUUUCUCCAUAUUACACACAUGA